ensembl:lncRNA
UUUUUUCUAAAAGUUUAUUAAAUGCUUUCAAGAGAUUUGGUCCACAUGUGUGAUCAUCAACUUCCAACCAGGGAGGAGAAAAGAGAAAAAGUCAAGAAGGGGAAAAAAAUAACAACAAAAUGUUGUUUUUAAAAAAGAAAAACAUACAAAACAAACAAAUAAACAGAGGCCUUGUUUUUUCCACUUCUUGCAUCCCUGGUUUCCUCAUUCGAAGUUGCCGAAAACAAUAACCCAAAAAAGAAAAAAAAAUUCGAACCUUUUGAAAACGGAUUCGUUCAGUCUUUUGUAGCUGUGUAGGUGUGUGUUGGUGCUGCCAAACACAUGACACAAACUUCAUCGGAGGGUGGGGGAGCCGGAGUGGCAAAGAGGCAACGGGAUGGUAGGUCACUUGAAUAUUUCUUUUUGGAGCAGCAACUGGGCAGCGUGUAACGUCAUUUCACUGCGGCAAGAUGCAUUAAAGUGAAGUGACUGGAUCAGGACACUUUAUCAGAACACACAACUUUGAAGUCAGGUGACAUUCAGAAGAAGCAUGCCUGUGUGAGCAACAAAAUUCAUUAUUUGACCCCCUUUAUUUUAAGAGGGGGGGUAGAGAAAAGUAAUUUCUUCCACAUAUACGCGAGCAAAUCUGGCUGUUUUAUCAGAUGCUUUGGCACCAGAAUCCGUCACACGCUCGAUAAGGUUGUGUCAUGAUUCGUCGGCUUUUAAACGGCACGCACACAACAAGCAGCCCAGACAUUUGCUUCUUUGUUUCCCCAACCUCUCUCACAAACACUAGGGAGAGGAGCCUCACCUCAAAUGAUUUGCUCUCUUAUUUAAACAGCAAAAACCUAAAUCCAGAUCGACAAAUUUUAGUCUAUGUUGGCCAAAUGGGAUUUUUAAAAAAACUCAAAUUAUAUUUUCUUUGGGUGAGCGCCACUCUCCUUUAUAGCCUGUCCCAUUUAACUCUCAAAAGCAAGAUGAGAACACAUUUCUGACCACAGCACACUUUUCAACAGCCACGGAAAAAAAGACAGCCCAUCAUCUCUUAUUCAGAUUACCUUAUAAGGGUGUCUAAGUAUUAUAAUAGGUAUCAAGUAUCAUAUACUGUAUAUAGUAAGGAGGGUUAUACAAUAGGGGUAUGUUAUCAUCUUAUAGGUGAAGUAUAUUGAAUAAGGCGCUAUACGGGAGUAUAUAAGCCUCUGUGUAUGCAGUCGUUUCCAGAUCUGUCCUUGCCCGGUGAAUCAGCUCAACCAAAGAGGCAAAGCAAAGGCAGUGAGCAGUGAGUUCUGCUGGUAGGAUCAAACUGAGACACUGCAAGAAGGAAAGACGUUACAGUAUAUAUACUUUAAUCAUCAACUAUCUAGUUUUACCCUUUGGUCCUACCAGAAGAUCUCAGAUAUAGCGCUCAUUUAC